AAUCAGCAGCUAAGGCACCCAUUUGCUGUAUUGGGUCAAAAUCUCCACAAUGCGAAUAACUUGGUGCAACCUCAGGUCAACAAGGUUAAGGAUGUCUCCGAUGAUGGUAAAUCACCUGCAAAGUGGAUUUUUAUGAUAGUUACAUUAUUUUUCAGUUUAGCCAAAACUGUAUGUAUAUUCAGUCCUCUAUAAUUGUUCUCGUAAUAUAGCAUUUUGCAUUCUUCUUCUCCUUUAUUCAUUUGCAGCUCAGAGUUAUAGAACUCAAGGAACAUUUCUCAAAAAGGAUGAUCCUAAGAUAACUGCUUUGAUGCAGCAAGCGGAGCUACUCAGCUCACUUGCAUUGAAGGUUAACACAGACGGUACAGAAGAGAGUCUGGAAAAUGCUUGGAAGGUGAGAUAUGAUUUUAGUUUCUAUCUUGUUUUUGUUUUAUCAUCAAUUCAACAUCCAAUAAUACUAUCAACAUGUUGCUUCUCCAUAGGUAAAGUGCUAAAAUUUAAAUAUUGUGGGGUUUAUAGUUCAAUCUAUGCACUGUAUGUCCCUAACUUUCAUCCUAAUAAAUUUUAUUUCCAGGUCCUUCAAGAUUUUUUGAAUCAGAGUAAAGAAAAUGACACCUUCAGAUAUACAAUCUCUGAUAUUGAUUUUCAAAUUGAAGAUUUCAAAGACUUGCUUGAGGAUUUAAGGAGUAGUAAUGAGGGAAGUCAACAAUCUUGGAGGUAACAGAUAAAUCAGUUAAAGUUCAGAUUUAGUAAGGUUUCAUACUCACCACUAACUGAUGAUUAAUGUGUUGCAGGCAACCUGAUCUCUAUGAGGUAUCUCCUUCCAGUUCUGAAUACAGUACAGGGUCAACAAUUAUGCCUCAUCCAGCUGGGGAACGAGGAGAAAAGACUCAGGCUAAAAUAGAUGAACUGCACCCAGAUAUAUUGUCAAAUCAUAUUGGAGAGCAGAAUUGCAGUACCGAGGAGGAAACAAGGGCUCUUUCCAGUGCAAACAAAAAUCAUGGUAAUGAAAUUCUAUAUCUGGUAUAAAGGCCGAGGAAUUCCUUGCUUGUAACCACGCAGUGGUUAAUUAAGAUAAAAUGAUGUUUCUGAAAAAAUGUGUCUAUGUUACCACAGGCGAGAUGAUAUCAUCGUCUGAUGACCAAACGAACAUUAUCGUUGCUUCUACCUCAUCAAGCGCAGAGUUCAGUUCCCCAGUCCAAGUUACCCCACUUUUCAGAUCUCUAGCAGCUGGAAUUCCCAGCCCAAAAUUUUCAGAAAGUGUAAGUUAUCUUCAACUGUUUGGUUUACCAAUAUAUCCAUUUAAUAGAAGUAGGAGCAGUAGCAUUAUUAGAAUUUGCAGUAGCAGGUAGUACCAAUUAUUAUCUUUCUCAAGACCAUGAUUCCAUAGGCAGUUUUAGUUGUGAGCUUACGAGUGUCUACUAAUAAAACUGCUUUGGAUUACUAGUUAUGGAUCCAUUUAUACCAGCAAUCACAGCAAGACAUUAAUUUGCUUUUGAGCCACUGUUAAUAGGUCUCUUGAACCAUUUCUAGGACUUAGAGCUUGUUAGUCAAUAAAUACUAGGAGCACUUUGGGUUAACUAGUUGUCAAAGCUUUAGUAGCUUCAGUGGUAACUGAUUAUAACAUCUUUGAAAAUGAUAAUGCAGAAGCUGCUACUAGAUUCUUGUUUGACAGUCAUUGAUCUAGAACUGUUAGCAAGUCUUAGUAUUGCAUGAUUUAGUUGGAAAUUGGACCACGAAGCUAUUUUUCUUGAAAAGGCAUGCAUUUUAGUGCCUCAUUAUUUUCCAUCAGUUAGCUAGACUCUGCUUCUGCCUUACUUACCAGUAUAUUAGAUAGACCUGUGGCUGCUGUGAACUUUUCCAUUAUGCAAGAGAGCUUUAUUUCCUGUCAAAUGCAAUUUAAGUUCUCCACGUCUAUUGAUACAGUAAAUUUUAUAAGAAUUUUCAUCAGCAGACUUAUUCAAGAACUAAAGUUGCCAAAUUCAACCUAAGAGCAAGUUUAAAGCCGUAGGACUUUAGUUGUUUUUCACUUUUGAUGAACCUAAAAAAGUAAUGAAACCAAGUAAAGCUCCUGGCCAUUGCCUAAGGAAGCUUUGUUGACAGUACUCCUUGAUAGUUAAAAAAAGAAAGAAGAUUUAAGUGAAUCAUAAUUCAUACAAGUUGAAAUUAUAGUCUGAAUGGUAGUUUUCAUAAUUCAUACAAGUUGAAAUUAUAGUCUGAAUGGUAGUUUUUCUAAGUAAAGGAGAGUUGUGCAAUUGGAAAUUUACUUAAAAAAAAGGGUUCUAGGAUAUUAUUCGUACACGUGUGGUAAUUACUGGUUUGGUUCUUACUGAGUCCACUUUCUUUACUUUUAUUGUUGUUUUCCUUUCUAUAAUCUAUCUACCAUAGACGUAAAAGCAUGCAGACGCAUAUAAGAGUCUGAUCAAGUUUUUGUUUGAUUUGCAGGAAAGGAACUUCCUACUUAAGACACUUGGCAUGGAAUCACCUUCUCCCAGUCCAGCAAAUAAUCUUUCACAACCACCACCUUGCAAACGAGCCCUGCUCCAUAGUCUAUAACAAACCUAUGGUCAUCUCUUAUACUGAAAAUCAUAUCAGUCUAAUAGUCCCAUAUUUCAUCAUUUAUUCCCUGGAGCCACAUAGCUCAUGUUGAGUUUUCGUCCCUUUUUUUUUUUUCGAUUUGUCCAAGGAUUGCAGCCAUCUUGGCCUGGAAUUUUACAAGGCAUUUAAUGAUCUGCACUCCCAGCUCCCUUGCUUAGAAUGUUUUGGUACAUUCUAGCUUCUCAGAUACAUCCAAUAAGAUGUCCUGAGUUUCAUUAAUUUUUCUCUCUAAUUUCCUAGAGAGUACUACCUUAAUACUCACAUUAAAAUCAGUGUGUGCUUUGUUAGUGUGUCAAUUCUUUUGUUUGUCAUCUCAUCCGAGUGGUUUCGGGUAUCUCUUCUCUCAUCAUUCAGAUCCAGUUUUUGUUCUUGAUUUGUAAUCUUGUACAGAACCUACUAUAUAAGAUAAAUCCUUAGAGUGUAAUUAAUACAUUGGCGAGUUGCCUACAUAUGAUAAAGAACAGAGGAAAAAGUAAAAAAAAAAAAAAAGAAACAGAAAAUAUGAGGAUCAACACCUUGAUGUUUUUGGGCGUGCAGAGGGUAUAGAAUAAGUUUUUAUUUAUUUAUUUAGUGGAUUUCUAUUCUGAUUUCUAAUGUAAUCGAACUCGAUAUGAUUUGAGUGAAAGGUGUUUUGGCUUUGGUGUGACUUAAGCUCUUGGUUCUCUCUUAUUUGAUUUCAUGCAUCAUGAUAUCUAAAUAGAUAGAAUAUUUGCUACACAGGUGAAAACAUGAUGCAGCAGUUAUCAAAUGAAAUGUAAAGUAAACUAGUUCAUUAAAAGAGAAAAUGAGAAUGUAAAGUGUUAAGCAGCAUACUUACAGAGAAUACAGAAGAACAUCCAUGUUCUCUCUCUGACCAACCGACCCUUUUUUCACUUCUGAUUUCCAACCAAAACUGUGUAGUCUCA
rnacentral:lncRNA from 1 species